rnacentral:rRNA from 1 species
UACGGAGGGUGCAAGCGUUGUCCGGAUUUAUUGGGUUUAAAGGGUGCGUAGGCGGCCCGUUAAGUCAGCGGUGAAAUCCCGGGGCUCAACCCCGGAACUGCCGUUGAUACUGGCGGGCUUGAGUUCGGUGAAGGCGGGCGGAACUGGCGGUGUAGCGGGGAAAUGCUUAGAUACCGCCAAGAACCCCGAUUGCGUAGGCAGCUCGCUGUGCCGAAACUGACGCUGAGGCACGAAAGCGUGGGGAGCGAACAGG